UGUAGCAGGGUUGGGGACGCGGGGGCGGGAACGCGAGGGAAGCUUUGGCUUCCUUGAAAGCCCACUUAUGUAAGCGCGUUUCCCUUUUAACCCCAAGUGUGGGAUUUCAGCUGGGCUCAUCACAGCUGAUAUUUAUCUCAUCCUGGGCGGGCGCGGCCUUUCACAGCUGCUGUGGCCCAGACGGGGCGUGGUCCAGGGCUCUGGGGGUAUAAAUGUGAGAGCCCAGGAAAAGGUGUGGCCUGGGGUGUGGCCAGUGACAGUUUGGCGAGGCCAGAGACAAUGCUGUGGUGGCUCCGAGACAGAGGGAGAGAAACAGCUCCGCUCCCAAACAGCCGGGAGAAGUAAGGGGGUCUGCAGCCCCUCUCCCCACUACCCACGAGCCCUCUCUCCGGCCUGUGUGUUUUUUGAGGUAAGCCUCACUGAACGGCCCAGGCUGACCUCAGUGGCGUCAUCCUCCUGCCUCAGCUUCCCAAGAGCUGGGAUUACAGGCAUUCAGGGCGGUGCUCAGCGACUGAGGUGAGACUCAAGUCCUGUCCUCUGUGGAGACCGUGCUGCUGCCUGGAUGCCUGCUCCGGGAAGCUCCUCGCCCCCUCGCCCGCCCCUAGGCCCUCAGGAGACCCACAUUUAUCCAGGCCACCCUCGUCCUUACCCGGCCCGAGUCCAUGGCUUCCGCCAGCCCCUCGGGGCUCAGCUCCGAGGAACCUCCUGGCCUCUGGAUCCAAGCCGAUAGAUCCUUCUGAAAUGGGGCGGCGGCUGGCACCGUGAGGAACAGGCUUCGCGUGGACAGAACCAGCCCUGGUGCCCGAGGCUGAGGGAGACGCCGCCCUCUGUACGGAGGCCGGACCAGGCAAGUCACUGUGAGGAAACGGGUGCCCAAACAGGCAGGAGAGUCAGGGACAGCCACUGCUCCGCCGUUAGGGAGUCCCACAAGACGGCCAAGGUGAACAUACUGUAACAUCCAUGAAGAGGACCGUCCCUCACCCUUCUUCCCCAUGUGGGAUCCCGUUUCCCCGGGUCAGGCGCUGAAGAGUGUCACCCCACAUCAAGCAGCCUUUGCUCCUUUGUCAAAAAGCACACAAAAGCACACGUACACGUGUGCGGGCCAAACAGUCACAUGUGUAAACUAAAAGUAAAUGUUUUUAAAUGUCUGGCCGCAUGUAUGAGGGCUUCUGUCUUGGAUUUCUAUUCUAGUCCAUGCAGUAUUUUGGAAUAAAAUAGAGGAAUAUUGUA